AUUGAACGCUGGCGGCGGGCCUAACACAUGCAAGUCGAGCAGAUGACGGGAGCUUGCUCCUUGAUUCAGCGGCGGACGGGUGAGUAAUGCCUAGGAAUCUGCCUGGUAGUGGGGGACAACGUUUCGAAAGGAACGCUAAUACCGCAUACGUCCUACGGGAGAAAGCAGGGGACCUUCGGGCCUUGCGCUAUCAGAUGAGCCUAGGUCGGAUUAGCUAGUAGGUGAGGUAAUGGCUCACCUAGGCGACGAUCCGUAACUGGUCUGAGAGGAUGAUCAGUCACACUGGAACGGAGACACGGUCCAGACUCCUACGGGAGGCAGCAGUGGGGAAUAUUGGACAAUGGGCGAAAGCCUGAUCCAGCCAUGCCGCGUGUGUGAAGAAGGUCUUCGGAUUGUAAAGCACUUUAAGUUGGGAGGAAGGGUUGUACGUUAAUACCGUGCAAUUUUGACGUUACCGACAGAAUAAGCACCGGCUAACUCUGUGCCAGCCGCCGCCGUAA
rnacentral:rRNA from 1 species